GUGCGGGCUAGCCUGGAGGGUUAGGCGUCCUCUGUAACUCGAAAUCGCCGAUAUGCGAGAGGCGAAGCUUGAGGAAGGCUCCGUAGCUAUCAAUUUCAGCUCAGGGUUGGACGAAGAAGCAUCGCCCUGCGGGGUUGGCGGUGGUAUGAUAACAGGCUGGAGAGUCUGCUACCAUGCCUUUCCCAUGGAUACCGGUUUAGGCCCGGAAGGGAGCAGACUUACUGUGGACGCUGGCGCUCGGAGGAUAGUGGUGUGGAGAAAGACCUUGAGGGUCUGGUUGAUGGCGAAGGUCUCGACCGAGGGCGUGCCCGCAC
rnacentral:SRP_RNA from 1 species